rnacentral:rRNA from 1 species
CGCGCGAUACAGGGUGACAGCCCCGUACACAAAAGCGCAUGUGCUGUGAGCUCGAUGAGUAGGGCGGGACACGUGGUAUCCUGUCUGAAUAUGGGGGGACCAUCCUCCAAGGCUAAAUACUCCUGACUGACCGAUAGUGAACCAGUACCGUGAGGGAAAGGCGAAAAGAACCCCGGCGAGGGGAGUGAAAAAGAACCUGAAACCGUGUACGUACAAGCAGUGGGAGCACAGGUUUACCUGUGUGACUGCGUACCUUUUGUAUAAUGGGUCAGCGACUUAUAUUCUGUAGCAAGGUUAACCGUAUAGGGGAGCCGAAGGGAAACCGAGUCUUAACCGGGCGUUAAGUUGCAGGGUAUAGACCCGAAACCCGGUGAUCUAGCCAUGGGCAGGUUGAAGGUUGGGUAACACUAACUGGAGGACCGAACCGACUAAUGUUGAAAAAUUAGCGGAUGACCUGUGGCUGGGGGUGAAAGGCCAAUCAAACCGGGAGAUAGCUGGUUCUCCCCGAAAGCUAUUUAGGUAGCGCCUCGUGAAUUCAUCUCCGGGGGUAGAGCACUGUUUCGGCUAGGGGGCCAUCCCGGCUUACCAACCCGAUGCAAACUGCGAAUACCGGAGAAUGUUAUCACGGGAGACACACGGCGGGUGCUAACGUCCGUCGUGAAGAGGGAAACAACCCAGACCGCCAGCUAAGGUCCCAAAGUCAUGGUUAAGUGGGAAACGAUGUGGGAAGGCCCAGACAGCCAGGAUGUUGGCUUAGAAGCAGCCAUCAUUUAAAGAAAGCGUAAUAGCUCACUGGUCGAGUCGGCCUGCGCGGAAGAUGUAACGGGGCUAAACCAU